CUCCACCACCACGAUUCCACUCGUUGAAUUAGAGUAAUGACUACAGAGUUGCUAGCUGAGACUGUCUGUCGUCAUUGUGAAAUGGGAAUCAUUCGGAAUGAAGCAUUACUCCGUAGUCAUUACUCUAAUUCAACGAAUGGGAUCAUUCGGAAUCUCUCCCGAUGAAAUGGGUCAAUUUUGGUUUCUCUGUCUUAGCAACAAUUUUGAAACUUGGCUUAGCCUGUGUGUAGCUGAGACCGUGUGUCGUCAUUGUGAAAUGGGUAAAUCAACAUCCUCUCUUCUUUUUAUAUGCAAUUGUUUGAUUAUUAGAGUAGUAAGCCUCCCAUUUCCAUUUCGUGCUUUUACUUCUUAUCAUUAUUGUUCUUCUAUUAGUGAAAAUGCGAAAAUCCCAUAUCAGAAUCAGAAUCAGUUGUUGAAAUCUGUUAGAGAUCACUGCAAAUCUGGAACCAAUCACAAGUCAUUAUGUGAGUGAUGUAUAUUUGCUUACAGUAAAAUUUAAUACUUUUUAUGAGAUUGUAUUUCUUUCCCAUUCUGUGCCAAGAUUGUUUGUUCCUUUUACUAUCCGAUCUUUUGUUGUGAUUCUGUUGUGCACUCAUUUUGUUGCAUUAAACCCUUUCUCAUGGAUAGAUGUAAUUUUGAUGUGAAAUAUCAUACCCCUUGGAAGAGCUUUUGGAAGUAGAAGAUUCCCUCUAGGGUGACUUUCUUCGUAUGGAUUGUUUCCUUGGGGAAACGUCUUACAAUUGACAAUUUAAGGAACAGAAAGGUAUGCAUUUUGCAUUGGUUUUAUAUGUGCAAGUGUAAUAGUGAAACUGUUGACCAUCUAUUCCUUCAUUGUCCGGUUGCUUUGGAGCUAUGAGAUAUGGUUUUUGGUUUAUUUGGAGUUUGUUGGGUUAUGCCAAUGUCUGUUGUUGAGCUUCUUGCUUGCUGGCAAGGUCAAUUUCGUCGCCAUCGUAAUAGAUAUAUAUGGAUUGUUGUUCCUCAUUGUUUGAUAUGGUGUAUUUGGAAGAAAAGAAAUAGUAGGUGUUUUGAAGACAGUGAUUGUUCUAUGCCUGAUCUCAAGCUUUUAUCUUUUAGAACCUUGAUUUAUGUGUGGAGAAACCAACCCUUUUCUUCAAUUUUGGAUUUACUUGAUUUAUGUAAUUUUUGAAUUUGAUAUGUACGCCCCUGUAUACUCCCUGUGUACUUGGGUGUCUCUCUUUUUUAUAUCAAUAAAUCUUUAUAACUUAUCAUAAAAAUCAUACCCCUUGUAUAGGUAUGCACUCCCUAAACCAGCCCCAAAAUUCUUAAACCCUUAGUGACCAGGUUCUGCACCAAAUUAGUUCUUGAAUCAGUUUCAGUUUUACAAAAGUAGUCUGGUUAUAAUUUGCUUAUCAAAUUUAGUUUUAGAGCAGGUUAUGGGUGCUUGUAAGUUAAAAUAUUGUUUUAAAACAACAAUAGAUUGAGCUGUCAGACUUCUGAUUAGUUUAAGUUACUGUCUCUUUCGUUUUCAUACCUUUUACUUGUCUUUUGCCAAAAGGCAGGAUCUAUUUUGUGUUCAACCUUCAUAAUUCUGAUGUUUUGUUUGUGCUUACUACGAUUUGAGUGUUACUAGAGAUUCUUGAACCUUUAUUCAUUUGAGGGUAUGUAGGAUAGCUAUUCUAAAGUAAGAGUGCCAUUAUUAGUAAAGCUGAAGUCCAACGGUUACAUAUAUACCACGUAGUUUUGUUUGAUGCUAGUCACGUGCCAAUGCAAUCGCGCGCAAGGGAAGAGAAAGAGACCAAGCUCCACACAUAUGCAUAAUAUAUACUAUGGCUUUUGGAAACCCUAACUCCCACUCUCACUCACUAUUCAAGCCAAGGUGCUCUUUCUCUCUAUGAUUUGAUUUUGAUUUUGAUUUUGAUUUUUCUUUUGCUUUUGCUUUUAAGUUUUGGGUUUAGUAGCUCUGUUCAAUUAUUACUACGAUUCUCAACUAUUCCUAUUCGGUGUUUAGUCUAAUAAAAUUUUUAUUUCUUCCGAGUUGAAAUCCAUUUCCUGCAUAGUAUAUACGUGAUAUAGCCUAGGUUCAGUUGGGAGUAUCUGAUUAAGUUCCCAAGGAUUGUGGAAUUUGGGAGGAAGUGUUAUUUGAGCUAGAGCUCAUUUCAUUGGUUUAGCAAUCAAAUUAUCAAACUAGGCAUUUAGAUUUAGUGAAGGGCUCUUGUUUUUCUAUUUUUUAGAUAAAGAAGAAUGUGAGGUGAAAACUGAAAAGUGGAAACCUCUCCUGCAAUUUUUGAGCUUCAGAGGUCACCAUGUCUUUUGAUGCCAACAUGGUUUAUGGACACAUAUUUUAGGUGAGAUUGUGUAUAUAGCCUCUAUGUACAUGAAGUUCCCCUCUAUUCCAUGAUAUAUGAGAAAAUUCACAAGGAAAGGCAUGCUUGUAUAUACAAUUGGAACAUAAAUCUUUAGUUAAAAUACCCUAUUAUUCGAUUGAUUAAAAAUGAGUUAGCAGUAAAGACAAAUUAAGGAUAGAAUGGUUUUUGGGAAAUUUAAAAUUCAGUUUCAAAUUUUGUAAACUAGGGAACACGUUUUAUACUUAAACUAUACCUACUUGCAGUUACAACUUAUAUAUAUAUAUAUAUAUAAGAGCCUCUAAAUCCACACAUAGUGCAUGUGAAUAGGGUAGUUUAUUUUACUUUACAGAAUAGGUUCUAUCAACAGAUACUUUCUCAUGUCAUUAGCGUAGGUAACACGAGGAUAGGAAGCUCUUCCAAGUCCAGUUGCAUAAUAAAGCAGGGUACAUGGCUUCCAAUGAUUAACCUAGUGAGAAAGUGAAAAGGAAAAAUGGGCAGCGCCGCCAAAAACAAAGGCACCAAUGUCAGAGCAGGAGGAGGUUUCAUGUCCAAAACGGAUCACUUCCUCUACAGCGGGGACAAGAAGCACGUUGCAGCUGGCAUUGCUGUCCUUACUGUCAUCUAUGGCAUCCCUUGGUACUUCAUGAACCAAGGUGAAGGUGAAGGAGAACUCAGAGUUAGUUGUUACCACUCUCACUACCACCUACCACAUUUACACACUGAUCGAGCUUUGGAUAAUAAGCACUUGCUAACUGCUCUCUCUCUUUCGGAAUGGUUUUAAAACUUGAAAAGCAAAAUAGGCAACAGUCUUUAUUAUACACACUCCUGCAAAACCAAAAGGUGUGAUUUAUGAAUCUGUGAAAGAGAUUGAAAAUGGGGAACAAGUUCGAGACCGAAAGUGAAUUGAGUAUGUUGGAGGAAGGUGUAUUGGAGACAUUGUAGAGGUGCGAGCAGUGUAAUGAGGCCACUCUCUUUUCUGUUUCUGCUAUGGAAGUUGCCAAAUGCUUAAGGUCUUGGCAAGUUCAGCUUCCCAGUCCUGAGUUAGGGCACCUCUUGGUCUCCCAUCUUUGCUCUUCUUCUUCUUCUUCUUCUUCUUCUUCACUCUAGAAAUUCAUUGAACAAGCUCUAUUGUUUCAGGUACUUCCAAAUUGACAGUCUCAACCCAAGGUGUAUAGACUCUAUCUUGAAUGUUUGAGUUGGUAUGCAUUUUUGUUUUAUCCAUUCAGUGAAGAUGCCUGCAAAGACAAGAUUAUAAAAUCUGUUGAUGUUGCCCUUCAACUAUCUCAAACAUAUAAAGUUCGCGUUCUGGAGGUUGGACAUGCAUUUGUGUUGUUCUUUUUCAGUAUUAUCAGUGGUUUGAUUGAUAGCACAUUGGAUGAUUGGGGUUUGCAAAUGACACCUAUAGAGAGACCUAGUGUAGCAGUCAGAAGCACAGAGCACCUUGAUAUGGACAUCGAUUUUAGAGGAAGCCAUGAUUUUAAAGGCAGUGAACAUCAUGAACAGAUGAGGAGGACGAAUUCAUUUAUGGUCAUAGCAGUGCUGGGAAAACUAACAGAGCUGAAAAUCUAGGGUUAUUCUCUGCCUUGUUCACUUGAACAUGUAUGUAUGCUAUUAUUGUAUUGUUUGCCUUCUUGUGAGCUCCUUUUGAUGUUAUUAGAAUUAAAUCAUGUAUUUUACCCCCAAAUAUUCAACUCUUUAAGUUUUACAGAAAUUGUUUGCCUUGCAA